rnacentral:rRNA from 1 species
GACGAAGGAUUCAAGCGUUGUCCGGAUUUACUGGGUUUAAAGGGUGCGUAGGCGGAAAUAUAAGUCAGUGGUGAAAUCCCGCAGCUCAACUGCGGAACUGCCAUUGAAACUGCAUUUCUUGAAUACGGUUGAGGUAGAUGGAAUGUAACAUGUAGCGGUGAAAUGCUUAGAUAUGACAUAGAACACCGAUUGCGAAGGCAGCUCACUACGGGAUCAUUGACACUGAGGCACGAAAGCGUGGGGAUCAAACAGG